GUUGGGGGUUCUUUUAUUUUUCUUUUACUGGGUUGGUUUUUUUUACUUUGGUAUCAAUAAAAACCCUAAAAUUGUCUUGAAGUCACUCCUGGCCAUUCGUUACUGAAAACGGCAUAGAUCGUGGAUUUUAAGGCCUUACUUUUAGUACCUUUUCCGUAAAUGGGUGUUACUGUGUUUUCAGAUCUGAUUCAUUCCUUUUAUUAUUUUCGUUUUUGGGUCUAUGUGAAAAUUGGUUUCUUCGUUUUGGUAAAUUUUGUGUGGUUGCUUUGUUUCCUUAUAAGGGAAACGCUUUACCUUUCAUUCUUUGGUACUCUUUUCUUCAUUUUUUUUUGGUACAAGUACUCUUAUCUUCUUUCAUUUUUUUAUAUCUAUCUUCUUCUCUUCUUCUUUUGUAUUCUCUCAUCUCAUUCUUUGGGACAUAGAAGUUGACAGAAGAGAGUGAGCACACAGAGGCAUUUGUAUAAACCUAAUACUUUUGCUUUUGCGUGCUCACUUCUCUUUCUGUCAGCUUCCAGUGCCGGAAUUUGAUCUUUUGGUCACUUCUCGGCCUGUUUUGUUCCAUACUCAACUCUCAUCUCUUGUCUUCCUUAUGACCUUACUUUCCCUUCUCUCUCUAUGACCAAUGCUUGAUUUGUCGCAUAUGAUCUCCCCCUCGCUCUCGGAUUACUUGAUUCGAUGCCAGUGAAGAUACUCUACUCUAUUCGAAGAGGAAUAUGGUGUGCGUGCUGCCUACUGAUGAUCUGAUCACCGUGUCUUUUUGUUUAUUUCCUUAGCUAUAGCUCUCAAUAUAAUUAAUUUAUGGUUUUAUAUACAAUUAAUAGCUUAAAAGCGUGGCUUUUGAUGUUACUCACUGUUGGGGUAAGCCUUAUUACUGUGCGGUUUUAGGGUCAAAAUUAUGAAUAGCAUGGGACCAUUCACGUUCUGUAUUGCCUAUUAGUAGCUAGUAUGGUCCUCCCCUCGACAAACCCUCUUCUUUUUCUGGUUUGCUUCUUGUUAGUCUUAUCUUAUUCAUAUUUUCCUUUUUUUUUUUUUAUUCCUGGGCAUGCGAUCAUAUUCAGUAACCAGAAAUUUCCUGAUUGGAGUUUGCUUUCACCCGAAUAUAGCAGAAUCAGAUUGCUUCUACUCUCAGUUGCAAAUGGAGUUCUCUAUUCGUGUUUUUAAUUAUAACCCUACCCUUGUAACAGUAACGUAGCUUGUUUUACUGUCUGUCUGCCAAUGGAUGUUCUCCAGCGAGUGCAGAAGAGAAGAAGAACCCUUUGAGGACUAGGAUUUAGGGCUUGUGAUGAUGAGUUCCCAACAACUAUUUUCGGCAUCUAUAUCUUCUCUCUCGCUUUUAUAUGUUCCUUUUGCAGGGAGACACACUUAUUUUGCAGGUAGACAGGUAUUUGAGUUUUGGGACUCUGGAUAUGGGAAGUCUGUUCAGAAGAAAACUUCUUAAACAGGAAAGUUUUGGUAUUAUUUUUGUAAAAGGCAAAUCUUCUUUCCUUUCAAAGUACUUGCGUGCAUCUGUCUGUUAUAGGAAUUGACUUAGCUUUAGUAGUUGUUGUUCUAUAUUUUGAAACUUGAACACUUUCAGCAUCGUACUUUAUCCAAGACUUUAUUAUUUCUUGUAUCUCCAAAAGCGUUUCGUACUUCUAUAAAGGACUAUAUUUAGGUAAAAAGAUGCAUGCAAUUAACUAAUUUUCAAACUAUUUAAGGUUAUGGCUUUUCUUUUGGGAAAUGAAAACAUUCCACAUAGCUGCCAAAGAUGUUUGUACUUUUGUUCAAUUUGAAACUUAAUAAUAUAGUUUGUUCUGCAUUGCUUUGAAUGAUUGCUUUGUUUUUUCAUAUAUGGUGAUUUCUGGAUUCAAAUAUUCUGGAGAAAAUUAAUCUCGUAUUCUGUUGAUAGUAUCUCAAGGUUGAGAGUCCUGGUAAAACUAGUAGUUGCCUAUUUGAAUCUCGUCCAAUAGCUCUGUUAUUUAUGCUAAAAUUAACUAUAUUCUAUUACCAAUAUGGAGCCAUGGUGAAUUUAUAUCGAAAUGAAUGCCUAAUCAACUGAUAUAUGAAACACUAUCAGUAAAAACUGAAUUAGAUUUCACUGUGUUUAAGUUAAUUGUUUGUUUUGAGUUGAUCAUUUCAUGCAACUGAUUGGUAUUUGACAUCUUAUGUUAAUUGCAAUGCCAAUACCUAUAGAAAGGACAUUUCCCUCAUCUUAAGUAUUUCAGCAAUUAAUCCUACGAUUUUUUUAAUAUAUAGAUGAUAGUUCUAUUGGAGACUAUGAUUAGUAUCAUCUUUUUUUAAUAAUUUAUUUGACUCUAGUUGUUGCUAGCUAGAUACCUUGUUCUUGAUUACACAUGCAAUAUUAUACAAGCAUUAAGGAUGCAUUGUAAUUAUUAAUUUGAGCAGCAUGAAAUUGUAUUCAUUUUUCUUCUUUGUAUUUUUUGUUGGCCGUGGGGGUGUUAAAUUCUGAUCAAGAAAGAUAUUUUGGCAUUGUGAUUAACUGCGAAUAGAGAUAGAGCUUCUCAUCCAUGUAUUUGUUUUUGAGUGGUAUAAAGAUUAGUAUUUGGUGCAUCAAUGUGUUAAAUUGAUCGAUCGAUUGAUCUAUCUUGUUUCUUGUAUUUAUCUAAAACACUAAUCUGAUCAAGUUUAUAAUCCCUCCCCGAAAAUCGCAAAAAGAGGAGCAUAAGAACUCUACAAAUAUGUGAUGGCGAAGGCUUUUAAUUUAUAAUGUUUAUCUUGCAAUGGUGAAAGAGAAGAAAAAAAUUCAAAUUAAAGACAUAUAGCAAGUGUAAGUCUAAUAAAUUGAGAAAAAUAAAUAGGUUUUGGUCCAUACAAGAUCAUCUAGAUAUCAUCUUAGUGUGUUAAUUCUGUGUAAACAAAAUUAGACUGGUCUUCAUUAAGGGAAAAAAAAAGAAAGAUUUGUUAUUUCAUUUGAGUUCAUUAUAGCUCUUUGAAGCUUGAAUUUUUAGAUAUAUCACAGCCACAUAUAGUUCAUAUAUAACUGAUUUGAAAUGGGAAUAAUUGCUUAAUCAAGAGUAUAUGUUUCUAUAGAAAUAUGAUUGAAAUUUUUAGGCUUUGUGUUUCAUUAGAUAUACAUAUUAUACAUUGGUUUUAUCAUAAUUAUAACUUUCAAAUUGCAAUGAUAGGUUUAAUUAAUCUCAAUUCUGAUUCGAAGUUUUUUAAUUAAUAUUGAAUGUAAAGUAUAUUGUGCUUGAAUUAAAUGGACUGCAUUGUCUGUUUACAUGAUUACAUGUAUCAAUUUAACCAUAUGUGGUUACUUUUUUGCAGAGUUUACAUUCCAUUGGCAAAACCUUGCUCCAUGCAAUUCACCUCCUUAGCUAGUAUGAUAAUUAAUAUCUUUAGUAAUCCAUUUUGAUCUACUCACCCUAUUCCAUUUCCCUUUUCGUUCUGUCUGAUUAUUAAUCUUCCAUUUCAUUCAACCUUUUUUUCUCAAGCAAAGGGUUGUUGAUGGUAGCUGAAGCCUCGAAUCUUUUACCAACUAUAUGAAUUGGGUUUGCAUUUAGUUGUUCGAAAAAAGUAUAAUUUGGUGUUAUGGGUUAUCAGCACCAAAUGGUGAAAUCCCCAAGUCAGGUUAAGAGUACUUCAAAACAAGUAAGAAAAGAUUGAAAUGCUGAUAUUUGUAUGCAGUCAUAAAUUUUUAGGGAUAGGGAGGACAAUGUAAUUUAUCUUGGUCAAAUUUUAAGUUCUUGCUGGACUAGAUUUCCUAGGUAUAAUAGUGCAAAAUGCUUGGGAGGGUUUUUUUUUUUUUUUAAUAUAUAUUUUCAAGUUUUAGCACAUUUAUGUUUGUUCAUCUGAGAUUUUGAGUGAAUAAAUUCUUGGUCUAUGUUAUUAAGUCUUAUAGUUUAUGCUUCCAAGUAGAUAGAGAGUACUGUUAAUUACUAAAUGAACGAGGAUAUCAUAAUUUGCUCAUUUUCCUAUUAUAACAAACAGGUAGAUGAGCUGCUUUAUAUAUAAUUUGAGUGCUUUUUGCUUUUACAGCUUUUAUGCUUGGUGCACCGAAAGUUAUUUUUAUUUCUCAUCCAAUUCUAAAAACCACAAAUGAGUUGAUGGACUUUGAAUUGAUGGUCAAAUUGUGGGAUCCUCAGUCAGCCUAUCUGCAUAUAUAUUCAGCUAGACCAGCUUUUAAUUCUUAAAAAUCAUGCAACUUUUGUCGUCCUCCUUGUUCGGAAUUAUCUAUCUCGGGGCAACAUGGCAGCGUGAAUGCACAUCUUUUUGAUGUACUGAAACAAUUCCGAUUGGUGUGCAUUAGUUUAUCUAUUUGGAAUAUCAAUGAUAGGUGCUAUACUUUUGCUUUGUACCUCAGACAGCAUUAAAAUAGGCUGCUUCCCUUUUAGUGUUUCCAAGAGAGCUCUCGCAUUAAAGGAAGGAAAAGUUAAUAAAAACUGAUCAGUCUGAAUAAUUCAGACAUUGCACUUAUGAUAUGGAUGCAGGUUUCUGGGGUAUGAUACAGACAUUGCAAUUGUGAUUGUUUUUAUGAAUAAUACAGAAGUUGCACUUGUGAUAGAUUCUCUCUUGGAACUUUCAACUCUUAAAUUGCUAACUCUAACAUCUUCUAGAGUUUGUUUAAACUUUAUAACUCCGUUGGAGAUUAAUCACAAUAAUCUAUUACCAAUUUGUUUGCUGCAGAAUGUUGCUGCUCCCGGGUGCGUCGAAGAUGGAAGUGUGUAUGAGGAGCUGUGUUUCUAGUUUCAGAACAAUCUUGUGACUUAAAAGGAAUUAUAGAGAGAAGAUUGACAGUGCUUCUAAUAAAGGCACAAGACUUUAGAAGGUUUAUUAGACAGUUAUAUUAAAU